rnacentral:piRNA from 1 species
GGGUUAGUAGAUCCUAGUGGUGAAGAGUA